UCUCCCCAAGCUGGGGCUCUGCCCCCGAGGCAGCCAGCGGCUAGGUGGAGUUGGGCAGGGCGAGGACCCAGGAUGCCUAGGAUGGGGCGAUGACCACUACCAACCCAGGCGAAUCAGCUCCAACUGGAGGCAGAAGGAUGGCUAAAAUGACCUCUGCGAAGAUGUCGACUAAAAGCACAAAAAUUUCAACCUAGAACCUUAAGACCUUCCAAAAAGCGACGCAGUCCAAUCAGAUCCUUUCCCCGGAAUCGCGGGGAAACUCACCUCCAGGGCCAAAGCGCUGGCAGUCCUGGGAUCCGCGGAGAUCGCGGGCGAAUUCGCUGGCCCCGGUUCCCCAGCGGCCGCAUUCCCGGGCCCAGGGACGGGCGCCGAGCACAUCAUGGACCCCGGCGAGCGCAUCCCGCCUCCUCGCGUUCAGAGAGCACCAAGCCCGGACGCAGCUCCUCGCCUCCUUUCUUCGCUGCUCAUCGCGCCCCGUGACCCCAGGGAACCCCGCCGGGAACCCCUCUGCUAAGCUCGUGAAAGCCCCUAGGGCAAAUCCGCUCUGAGCCUCGGUUUGCAGGUCCACGGGCCGGGGCGGGACGGGAUGGGCGCCCGCCGGGCAAGAGAGAUGCGGCAGGAAGCGCGGAGCGGCGGCUGCCAGCUGCAGGAGUGACGACCCCCAGGCCCACCGCCGCGCCCGCGCCACCUCCACGCUCUGCUCUCGGCGGGACCAUUUGGCCCUUAUAUACGCGCCAGGCCGGGAAGGGAUGGGGCGGGGAAGGCGGAGCGCGGGGAGGGGGCGGGCAAGGGCCGAACUGCUUCCUGGGAGGUGUAGUUUUGUCUUCCAAUUGCAAGUGCAGAGCAGCUUGUUGGGUUCCCCUUGUCCUCCCCUGCGCCCUUCCUUCAGGAAUAAGCCUGGGAUUCCAGCCUCAUCGUCGGCUCCGUUAGAUCUAGGCUGGCCUUUGUGCAUGAAGUGGGUCACACCGAGCUAAAUUCCGCCCAGGAUAACCAACCUUGUUAGCCUUGGGGUCAGACAAACCCAGCUAAGCUGCACUAGCCCCUCUCAAACCCCGCCAUCAACUAGCUAUGUGGCCUUCGCUUAGGAGUUACCUUGUCUGCCUCGAAUCAGUCAUCUGAGAUGGAGAGAGAAUAUUAGCAUCCGCUUCCACAGGAUUGUAAAGGGAGAAUAAUAUGGGGUGGCCCCACCUCCCCCACCCCUAACAUAAUCUGCGGCCCUCUCCUCACAUUUGUUAAGGGCUAAACAAACCUGGUUUCUAGGCUCCACUUCUGCCAACCACUUGCCACCCUGAGACCCUCCUAGAGUAAAAUUCUGGAGCUGCCACUGCUGGUGAUUCAGGCUUCAAUUUCUGUAGCCACCUCUCAUACAUUCAGCACCUGCAUACCCUGGAUUCAGUGAAGCAGGAGUCAAGCCAGAGGAGGAAGCAGCAUGGCAAUGACUGCCUGGAUGUGAAAGAGGCUGUAUGGACCAGGGGGCACCUAACCCUGCCCACCCCCCCACCCCGCCCCGGGAACAGUCAGGGUGUCCAAUGUGUGUAUGUGUAUAACUGAAUCACUCUGUUGUACAGCAGAAAGUAUCCCUACAUUGUUAAAUCAACCCUACAUCAAUAAAACUUUAAAAAAGGAAAAACAAACAAAAAACAGUCAAGAAGUCCAGAGGGCUGGGGUCUGACCUGGUUCUGGAAGAAAUGAUUAGGAAGUAUCCAGACAAAAAAAAA